AAAAAGUUGAGGGACCAAAUGGUAAGAGGGAAAAGUUCAGGGGCCUAAUAUUGAUAUGGAGAAGAAAGAAAAGAAAGGAGAUCGAGGAGAGAGAAUGCAUGGAGGAGAAGAGGAAAAGAGGGCUGUGGACGCCGGUGGCGGCCGACUGUCGAGCACGCGAUGCCAGCCGAAGGCGCUGCUGGCGUCGACGAGCGCAGCGGCACCAGCGGCGACGUCAAGCAACGGGAAUCGCGUGAAGCGCAGCGACUUCCGAAGGUCGUUUCGGCCGUUGCCGGUGUUAUUGGCGGCCGAAUCGGGUGCCGAUCGGCUCCCCUCGGCGAGGGCUCUCUUUUGGCGGCCGCAGCGACGUGAAUGGUGGCCAGAAACGAAAGUUCGCGGUGGAGAGAGAAAAUAGGGGCAGCCGACGUUUUUGUAUUNNNN
rnacentral:lncRNA from 1 species